GAUGAACGCUGGCGGCGUGCCUAAUACAUGCAAGUCGAGCGAACAGACGAGGAGCUUGCUCCUCUGACGUUAGCGGCGGACGGGCGAGUAACACGUGGAUAACCUACCUAUAAGACUGGGAUAACUUCGGGAAACCGGAGCUAAUACCGGAUAAUAUAUCGAACCGCAUGGUUCAAUAGUUAAACACGGUUUUGCUGUCACUUAUAGAUGGAUCCGCGCCGCAUUAGCUAGUUGGUAAGGUAACGGCUCACCAAGGCAACGAUGCGUAGCCGACCUGAGAGGAUGAUCGGCCACACUGGAACUGAGACACGGUCCAGACUCCUACGGGAGGCAGCAGUGGGGAAUAUUGGACAAUGGGCGAAAGCCUGAUCGAGCCAUACCGCGUGAGUGAAGAAGGCCUUCGGGUUGUAAAGCUCUUUUGUUGGGAAAGAAAAGCUGUAGAUUAAUACCCCGCUGUUUUGACGGUACCCAAAGAAAAAGCCCCGGCUAACUUCGUG
rnacentral:rRNA from 1 species